GUAAUAUUUUGGGUCAGAAACAUUUCAUAGUACUAUAUUAAGUCUAAAUAUGUGAAAAGAAUCAAAUUGGAGUAAGUCGGACAACUGAUUAUAUGAGUUUGUUAGAAAAACCACUUUCCUUCGCUCCUAGCGCCUUCUCGUUCGCUCUAUAGCCGUUUGAGCGGAUAAAGAGCACAAGUGUGCAUGGGGACACUGGAUGAAUGGGAAUUAGUUUUGUUAUUGCACUUUUGAUGAAAACAGACUUUCUAGACAUAAAAUGUCACUUUUUUCACCUUAUCAUGCUUUUUCAUCAACUUUUGCAUUUUAAUGUAAACAAUCAUAUUUCGUAAUAUUUUGGGUCAGAAACAUUCCAUAGUACUAUAUUAUGUCUAAAUAUGUGAAAAGAAUCAAAUUGGAGUAGGUCGGGCAACUGAUUAUAUGAGUUUGUUAGAAAAACCACUUUCCUUUGCUCCUAGCGCCUUCUCG
ensembl:lncRNA